rnacentral:rRNA from 1 species
GAUGAACGCUGGCGGCGUGCCUAAUACAUGCAAGUCGAGCGAACAGAUGAGGAGCUUGCUCCUCUGACGUUAGCGGCGGACGGGUGAGUAACACGUGGAUAACCUACCUAUAAGACUGGGAUAACUUCGGGAAACCGGAGCUAAUACCGGAUAAUAUAUUGAACCGCAUGGUUCAAUAGUGAAAGACGGUUUUGCUGUCACUUAUAGAUGGAUCCGCGCCGCAUUAGCUAGUUGGUAAGGUAACGGCUUACCAAGGCAACGAUGCGUAGCCGACCUGAGAGGGUGAGCGGCCACACUGGAACUGAGACACGGUCCAGACUCCUACGGGAGGCAGCAGUAGGGAAUCUUCCGCAAUGGGCGGAAGCCUGACGGAGCAACGCCGCGUGAGUGAUGAAGGUCUUCGGAUCGUAAAACUCUGUUAUUAGGGUAGAACAAAUGUGUAAGUAACUAUGCACGUCUUGACGGUACCUAAUCAGAAAGCCACGGCUAACUACGUG